rnacentral:lncRNA from 1 species
AUGGGUUUUAUGAAUUGUUUUUUAAUGCAUGCCUACUUUAAUGUGUUAAUGGUUUGCAUAUGUAUUCAAAUGUUCUUACUUGUUCUUAGCUAGGACAAAAUUUUUCCUUCAAGUGGUAUCAGAGCCUAGGCCUAGUUUAUGGUGAAUCCUUUUGGGUUUUGUGAUUUUCAUGAUUUGUGAUUUAAAUGUUGUAAAUGUUACAAGCUUUGUUCUUGCUUUUGAAUAUAUAAAUUUUGCUAGAAAAUUUAGCAUCUCAAAUGUUGUAGAUGUAUUUCAUUUAAGCAUGAAUAUUGGAACUAAAAUUUGGUGCCAUGUAUUUUGGGAAAUUCGGCAAAAUCCAAAGGGUGAUUUUUUUGGGUUCAUGUUUGUCUUGUUAAAAUGGUUUUAAGGUGACUUUUGGAACCCCUAAGUACCCUAGGGUAUUAGCCCUCUUUUGAGUGGUGAAAAAUUGAGUUUUGGUGAGUGAAAACAUCCAUGGAGCUAUUAUGAGUUUUCAUGGUGUUCUUCAAUGUUCUUGAAGUUCUUGCCAAGAACAAAAAAGGUUUUGAAUUUUUGAUUCAAAAGUUUUAUGUUUUUCAUAAAGUUUUGGUUUAAUUUUGAUGGGUGAUAGUUAUUGGUGAGGAAUUAAUAUUGUCUUUAAUGUUUGACAAAACUCUUUAUUGUUUUACAAAACAUUUUCUUACAAACCAUCAAUUUCACCUUUACCUCACCCACCAAAAUUGCAAAAACAGUUUUGCAUAAAAUCCCUUUCACAUCUUUCACACUCUAAAAAACCGGCCACCCCUAGUGGGGGUACUUUUGGGGCCUUUUAUGCAAUUACAUAAAGUUUUGAUACUUUUGUGUAUUUGCACAUUGGCCCAAAAGUUUACGUUUUUACGUUAAGGCCCAAAAACUCUAAAGGACGAAUUGUUUUGAUCCUUUAAUGAUGUUUUUACAUUAUUAAAAUUUUGGGUUCUAGUUGAAAUUACAUGAAGUUGUGGACUUUUGUGUUUUUCAAAGUGACCCCAAAAGUUUUUGUAUUUGCAUUAUGGCCCAAUUGUUGUGGUCAUAGUUUCCUUUUGGCCCAAAAGGAUGAGAACAAAAUUGUUUUGUCUCUUUAAUGAGAAUUGGAUUUUCAUUUCAUUUAGUUCCAUUUAAAUCAAUUCUAUGGAUCCAAAAACCAAUUGUUUAAAUUGCUUUCUUAAUUAAUGUGAUUAAUUAAGAAAAGGGUGAUUAUGAACCAAAGGCCUCGAUAAUUGAGCUAUGUGAUUGGCCGCUUUACAUUAUGAAUG